AGGAAAAGAAGCAAGCUGAAAACACACCAAGGAUUAUGGGAGAGGGGCAAGUGCAUGAAGCUUCUCAAUGACAUACAGACACUCUAAAAGCUCAAGAGAUCAAUUAUUCAACUUCAAGAACUGAAAUUUGAACACAGAUUUUGAGCUUCCAAAUCAGGAGAAAAAGAAGUGUUCUAUAAGAAAUCUGGACAAGACUCUGCAGGAAGUUAAGAGGUCCUUAAAGGCAACUGUGAGUUAACGGAGACUGGUAUUGAGAAAAUCAGUCCUGAUUUGUUUCUCCUGGAGUUUUCUUCUUUAUGUGAUCCAUCAUAAAAGCUGCUAAUAUGGGAAAGAUUGAAAUCAGCAAGUUUCUGGCUGUAAGCUAAAAGAGGCUCUUGAAUCAUAUUUCCGCCUACUUAGCAAAUUUCUCUUGCGACAAUUGGAUGUUAUUUGGGGUUCCAUACUAGCAGGAAGAAGUACAAGCAAAGCUAAGUCAUUUUGAGAAUAAAUAUUAUCUCUGUAUAUAUUUGUAAAUGUUAUUUUCUUUCUUUUUUGAGGUUUAUGAUUGAUCCUUGGCAUGUGUCCACUUGUGUAUUGCUCUACUGAAAA
rnacentral:lncRNA from 1 species